ACGUUGUCUACAGUGUCUGUUAAUAAUAGUUGUUACUUCCUCAGAUGACAUUAUAUAUUGUCACUGGGAAUGUAAUGACUAUUUUCAACAGACCGUAACUGCAAACCG